rnacentral:rRNA from 1 species
UACGUAGGGUCCAAGCGUUAAUCGGAAUUACUGGGCGUAAAGCGUGCGCAGGCGGUUUGCUAAGACAGGUGUGAAAUCCCCGGGCUCAACCUGGGAACUGCGCUUGUAACUAGCAGGCUAGAGUGCGGCAGAGGGGGGUGGAAUUCCACGUGUAGCAGUGAAAUGCGUAGAUAUGUGGAGGAACACCGAUGGCGAAGGCAGCCCCCUGGGUCGACACUGACGCUCAUGCACAAAAGCGUGGGGAGCAAACAGG